CAACCAUACAAGCACACAGACAUAAUUUUUCAGGCACACAGUCACAAAGAUAUACAGACACACAGUCAUAAAAGGCACACAAACAAACACAGUCAUACAAUCUACACAGACAUACAUUCAUACAGACACAGGCACUCACAGAAAUACAUACACAGACAUAAAGAAACAGAGAUAGGCAUACAGAGACAUACCUACACAGACAAACAAAGAACCCUGCACACUGACACCGUGCAAAUGCUCCGGCCAUCAACAGAGGUGGAUGCUCCAUGUCAGGCAGACAUUGCUGGAUCCACCAGUAAAGUCUUCAAAAGGAAUAAACGCAGGCAACACUCCAACAGUAAGGAUGGUAUAUUUAUUGGUAGGUGAACCACCCCAUAGAAAGUGUGAUGUUUCAGCUCAUGCAAUAAGGCUCUGCUGAGCCGAAACGACGCACUUUCUUUGGGGUGGUUCACC